CUUUCACUUAAUAAGCCGCCAUUUAUAAAAUAUAGACUAUUCAUGACAAUAAUCAAAUAGUAAUGUACGCAAAUUAACAAUACAAUUCUACCGUGGCAAAUAAACCGUAGAUUAUAAAAUCAUAUACUUCUAGCUUAAUAAAAUACUAUCAUGUACAUCUCGUGUACUUGUGUUACAUACAUGCGAUAUGAGGAGAACGUUACAAAACAAAAUAGAAA
rnacentral:lncRNA from 1 species